GACGAACGCUGGCGGCGUGCCUAAUACAUGCAAGUCGAGCGGAUUGAUGGGAGCUUGCUCCCUGAUAUCAGCGGCGGACGGGUGAGUAACACGUGGGCAACCUGCCUGUAAGACUGGGAUAACUCCGGGAAACCGGGGCUAAUACCGGAUAAUCCUUUUCCUCACAUGGGGGAAAGCUGAAAGACGGCUUCUCGCUGUCACUUACAGAUGGGGCCCGCGGCGCAUAGCUAGUUGGUGAGGUAAUGGCUCACCAAGGCAACGAUGCGUAGCCGACCUGAGAGGGUGAUCGGCCACACUGGGACUGAGACACGGCCCAGACUCCUACGGGAGGCAGCAGUGGGGAAUCUUGCGCAAUGGGCGAAAGCCUGACGCAGCGACGCCGCGUGAGGGA
rnacentral:rRNA from 1 species